AUUGAACGCUAGCGGGAUGCUUAACACAUGCAAGUCGAACGAGUGGCGGACGGGUGAGUAAUAUAUUGGAACGUGCCCAGUAGCGGGGGAUAACUACUCGAAAGAGUGGCUAAUACCGCAUACCAUUCGAGCUGCCGAUAUGGGAUUAGCUAGUUGGUGGGGUAACGGCUCACAAAGGCAACGAUCCGUAGCUGGUGUGAGAGGAUGACCAGCCACACUGGAACUGAGACACGGCCCAGACUCCUACGGGAGGAAGCAGUGGGGAAUCUUUGGCAAUGGGCGAAAGCCUGAUCCAGCCAUGCCGCGUGUAUGAGAAGGCCUUCGGGUUGUAAAGUACUUUUGGCAGAGAAGCGGUAUCUGCAGAAUAAGCACCGGCUAACUACGUGCCAGCCGCCGCGGUAAUAC
rnacentral:rRNA from 1 species